UACUUCACCUAGAGUCUUUAACCU
rnacentral:siRNA from 1 species